GGGGCGGGGCGCUCCAGGUGGCCACCUGGCUCGGCGUCCGGCCUCGCCCUUGCCCAACCGCCAUGCCGCCGUACCCCUUCGCCUCUGGAGAGCAGCCGGCCCCUGUACCCGGCCAGCCUCGCCGGGCCUAAGGAACCCGCGGUUUGCAAGGUGCCUCUAAAUGCCCUCUUCCUCCGAAGCCCCUUCCACCAGACCCCAGGCGAGCCCAGGUUGAGCCCCCAGUCUCUUCUGGGCUGCGGAAGAGGAAGCGGCAACGCUGUCCGCAGGGCAGAGAACGGAGAUUGAAAAAGCCAAUUUAUUCCUGAAAGCAGCUCAGACCUGCGUGUUGCUUGCUGCCUCCUGAAACAGAUCUACUUAAUGGAAAAGACUUUGCCUCAAGAUUCUCUGCAAAAUAUGGUGCUCUAAACUCAGUAUUCAAUAGAGAUCAUUAUUUACAAGCUAGAGGAAGCAGAGCAGUUGGACAAGAUUCUCAGGCAUUUUCUUUACCAGGGAAGAGAGACUUGGGGAACCAGUUGUCCAAGCUGGGAUGUCUGCAGGGUCUUCUCUCCAGUUGCUUGCAAUCCUGCAAAGCAUGGUGGUCCAUGCCAAGCACCCCAGUUGCUUACCCCUGAUUCCCAUCCCCUUCUGUUCCUCUUGCUCUAACAAGAGGGAGAGGCUGUUUUUCCAGAAGUCCCUCUUGGUGGGAGAAAUCAGAAACCCCAAAAACUCAGGAAAGUGAAAGAGCACAGCCUUUUAAAAGGAGAGGUCAAUCCUAAACUCUGAGAACCCGCUCCCCUGUUUUCUGUCUAUCUAGUACCUUCUUUCGUGUUCAGAUUUCCACUGAGGCUAAGAGGUCUGGACAAAUGCCUAUCUUCUUGACCUUUAUAGCUUUCCUCCCUUUUGUUCCUCUCUGCUCCAAAGAGCUUUUUCUUCUUUUUUAGCAAUAAAAUAAUUAUAUAAACACCCUUCUGGAACUCUUCCCCGAACUACAUGAAAUAAUACACCCACCCCCGUACUCCGAGCUCCCUAGCCCCUUCACCCUCCUUCUGCCCACCCAGCAAAGCAUAUGUUUACUCAAUGUUUUUUCUCCCCACCUUUCCCAAAAUUGUAAGCUCCCUGAGGGCAGUAAGUUUGUCUUUCACUACUGUGUUCCCAGAGGCCAGCAUACACAUUAUAGGCAUUCUAUAAAUAUUUGUUGAAUUCAUGAAUACAUGUGCCUUGAUUGGACAGUAUAAACAGAGAAUGAAACAAACUUGCAUAAAACAAUUUUUCUAGUAUUUUUUCAUGUAAGAGUGUGAUGAAUAUCUGGUAAAGGGUUACAGAAUUACCCAACCGGUGUUAAGACUGUCAAAGGCAUUCUGAACCUGUCCCUCAUAAUAAUAGGAAAAUAAAUGGCUUUUGCUUUCA